GGGGAGGCUCAGCACUGAGGCAAUAAUGCUGAAACUUGACACCACUGACUAUAGGGAAGUCAGAACUGGCACAAUGACAACUGCUGAAGUUCCAAUCUAACAAUCAUUAUAACCCUCGUAAAAAGGAACCGCCUCUAAAGUUCCAGAGAGGCUUUCAGAGCUGCAGAGAACAAAAACGCCCACAGAGAAGGAAAUGACAACUAUAUGCGUCCAAAGAAGAACAGAACGGAGCUGUGUGUGACAACACGGAGCGUCGUUAUUCUGUCUUGAGACAAUUCUACGCUUAGUGAGACAUUGCAACUGGUCCAUCAAUAUGUGUAUGCUGUCAUAGAACCUUCACAUCUUCUGAUUCUAAAAUGAGCCAUGUUUCAUCAUAUGCAGGUCCCACCCCUGCCUUACAAAAACAUCAUACACUUUUGGAAUUCAGAUUAUUCUGUGGUUUACAGAGGAUUACAAUUGUCUUCUUAAUUCUCUGUUCCCUGUUAAACGAAUCUCUCUCAGUGAGGUUUGAGGUGUCAUCAGCAGAAUUAGUAUCAGUAACAGUUGGGUCAGAUGUGGUGUUACCUUGUCGUCUGACCCCUGAGAUGAACGCAGAGAACAUGGAGAUCCGUUGGUUUAAGUCGAAGUUUAAGCCAUGUGUUCAUCUUUAUUAUAAUGGGAAAGAUGAUUACACAGACCAGAUGCCAGAGUUUACAGAGAGAACAGAACUGAUAAAAGAGAACAUCACUAGAGGAGUUUUACUUUUAAAGAUCCAUAAAGUCACAGUUCAGGAUUCAGGGGAAUAUCAUUGUUUUGCCGGGUCCAGUGAACAUCAUGAGAGUGCAAUAGUAGAGCUACUUAUAGAAACUGAAACUAUAGAAAAUGGACCACCGGAAAAACCCAGUUUUAGCCAACACAUCAUCAUCGUGUCGUUUUUACUGAUUGUGGCUAUUGUACUGAUUGUAUCUACUGUACUUUUUUUGAAAAAAAUAUAUUGUGUCAAGUGGAGAAAGAAUGCAAGGCAGCCUCAGCCAUAUCACAUUUCAUGUGAAGGGCUAGAAAUAUGUCCUCUAAAGGGAAUCUGAAGGGAAGCUUUGUUUACUAUCUGUAUAUUCCUUGGGAAGGCUAAACUAGAAAGGCUGUGGAAGAAUACUUGGUGAUUGUACAGCUAUAACUGGUGAUCCAUAGGUUUUCAGUUCUUCAUCUUUAAAACAAAUUUGAUCAUGUGAAUUGUUCUACUUUUGAUGGAUAUGUUGUAAGCCCCUAAAAUUAGCAAUGGUCAGGGCCGGACUGGGGGUAAAAAGCAGCCCAGGCAAAAAAAUCAAAGCAGCCCACAUGUAAAAGUGUGAUGAUCCUGUACACAUCCACUUGAGGUAAAACUGCAAAAAAAUAUUUACAUAAAGAGCUGCCUUUCUGACUCAAGUGUAAUUCAUGUGAAAUAUGUUAAAGGAAACCUGUCACUUUUUUACUUAUAGUAGAACUGUAAAUAAAGAGUUAAUAGUAA